rnacentral:lncRNA from 1 species
GGCCACGGACAUGGACAUGGACAUGAUCAUGGCCACGGACAUGAUCAUCAUGGCCACAGCCAUGGUCUUUCAGUUUCUACCAGUCGUGAUGUAAAGCAUACAAAAGAUGAGCAUCAUCACACACAUGACGAUCACACUCACCAUCAUGAUGAUGAAAAACAUUCAAAAGAUGAACACCACCAUACUCAUGAAGAUCAUGCACAUCAUCAUGACCAUGACCACAAAGAUGUUAGUGAACCACUUCUUGGUGAAUCAAAAGCCAAAUCAGAGAAGAAACGAAACAUCAAUGUACACGGGGCUUAUCUCCACGUUCUUGGGGACUCU